rnacentral:rRNA from 1 species
CGGGUAUCCUUUACAAUUGCCAAGUCGAACGGUCACUUCGGUGAUAGUGGCGGACGGGUGAGUAACGCGUGACAAUCUGGCUUCAGGUCUGGGACAACAGUUGGAAACGACUGCUAAUACCGGAUGUGCCGAAAGGUGAAAGGCUUGCUGCCUGAAGAUGAGCUCGCGUCUGAUUAGCUAGUAGGUGUGGUAAGAGCGCACCUAGGCGACGAUCAGUAGCUGGUCUGAGAGGAUGAUCAGCCACACUGGGACUGAGACACGGCCCAGACUCCUACGGGAGGCAGCAGUGGGGAAUUUUCCGCAAUGGGCGAAAGCCUGACGGAGCAAUACCGCGUGAGGGAGGAAGGCUCUUGGGUUGUAAACCUCUUUUCUCAAGGAAUAAGUACUGAAGGUACUUGAGGAAUCAGCAUCGGCUAACUCCGUGCCAGCAGCCGCGGUAAUAAUCGUAUCU